rnacentral:rRNA from 1 species
AGUCUAUUCAGAGGAACUUGUCCUAUAAUUGAUAGUCCACGUUUACAUAUACUUAUUUUAUUAAUUUAUAUAUCAUCGUAGUUUGAAUAUUUUAUAAGAAAUUAUUAAUAUUCAAGAUUCUAAGUAGUAAGAGUUCAGAUCAAGGUAUAGUUUAUAAAUAAGAAAGAGAUGAGUUACAAUAAAUUUAUUUAUACGGUUAAAAUGUUGUAAAAGUUUUAUAAGUUGGAUUUGAGGGUAAUAUUAAAAAUAUUUUUAAUAUGAUUUUAGCUCUAAAAUAUGUACAUAUCGCCCGUCGCUUUCACUUUAAGGUGGAAUAAGUCGUAACAUAGUAGGUGUACCGGAAGGUGCCCCUAGAAAG